rnacentral:rRNA from 1 species
CCUACGGGAGGCAGCAGUGAGGAAUAUUGGUCAAUGACCGUAAGGCUGAACCAGCCAAGUAGCGUGAGGGAAGACUGCCCUAUGGGUUGUAAACCUCUUUUAUGCGGGGAUAAAGGUGUCCACGUGUGGAUGUUUGCAGGUACCGCAUGAAUAAGGACCGGCUAAUUCCGUGCCAGCAGCCGCGGUAAUACGGAAGGUCCGGGCGUUAUCCGGAUUUAUUGGGUUUAAAGGGAGCGUAGGCCGGACUUUAAGUGUGCCGUGAAAUCUUGUGGCUCAACCAUGAGAGUGCGGCGUGAACUGGAUACCGUGAGUGCGCGGGAGGCAGGCGGAAUUCGUGGUGUAGCAGUGAAAUGCGUAGAUAUCGCGAAGAACACUGAUGGCGAAGGCAGGCUGCCGAAGCGUUACUGACGCUGAAGCUCGAAAGCGCGGGUAUCGAACAGGAUUAGAUACCCCAGUAGUC